AAUCGGCACACGGUCGCGCUUAUGAUCCACAACGCAUGAAGCUGUUACAAAAGCUCGAUCUGCUAGAAUAUAGCGAAGAAUCUAUACAAGACUCAUGAGUGUUACAUAGUAAGAAAAGUAAUUGGGAAGAAUGUAUUAUCCAAGAAAUUAUCGAUAAGAAUGAUGUAAACCUGAUGUCAUUGUUAACACAAAGAAUAAUGGAAAAUUAAUGGAAGAUGUUGCAAUACCUGGUGUCCCUGUUACUCCACCGCAUCAUAAAAAAAAAAUUAAGGCAUACCGAACGAUCUUGCUCCCUCUGCAGAAGCACUUGUUUCCCCAUCGCCGCUUCCAAGUUCAACAAGUACUAUAGAAUUGAUUAUGAGAGAAUUCGAGUACUCUUGAUAUCUGAUCUGCGAUGAAAGAUCAAUACGUCGUUGGAGAGGGUCUCCUACAUUAAGAGACCGAAAAAAUGGUGAUUCUUCAUAAUUUUUUUUUAAAGGAAGACUAAUAUUUAUUGUUUUAAAACUUUUUACACAUUUUAACAUAACUAUUGUGA